rnacentral:snRNA from 1 species
AAGCUCUCUAUCUCACAAGCCC